GAAAAGACAGUUACAGCAUGAUGGAGAGCCAGUGUAGUGCAUAGGUAAAGGUUCCCCUUGACAUUCAGCCAGUGUAGUGCAUAGGUAAAGUUCCCCUUGACAUUUUAGUCCAGUUGUGUCCGACUCUAGGGCGCGAUGCUCACCCUUAUUUCCAAGCCAUUAGAGCAAGGGUUUGUCCGAAGACAGUUUCUGUGGUCACGUGGCCAGAAUGACUAGACAUGGAAUGCCAUUACCUUCCCGCUGAGGUGGUACCUAUUUAUCUACUUGCAUUUUUACAUGCUUUCGAACUGCUAGGUUGGUAGGAGCUGGGACAAGCGACGGGAGCUCGCUCCGUCGCGUGGAUUCGAUCUUACGACUGCUGGUCUUCUGACCCUGCAGCACAGAGGCUUCCGCAGUUUAACCCACAGCGCCACCACGUCCCUAACAAUGUAGUGCAUACAGCAUCAUAAUAGGGCUCCAGAGACAUGGGUUCUGCUUGGCAACAGAAAUUCACUGGGUGAUGGCCAUGGCAAAGCACUCCUUGACCUCUCUCAUACACCUUGAAAACCUUUUUAAGGUCAUCACAAGUUAGAAAUGACUUGAUGGCACAUAAGAAUGAGUACCAUCAAUUUGCUAUUUCUAAAAGGGUUCCACCCCUUCACUUGUGCCAGACCCUAGCCCCCAUUUCGGGUAGGAAAAAACUAGGCAAAUGACAUAAAAAGUGGAUAACCGCACUGCACAUUGACUUUCCCCAGAAAG
rnacentral:lncRNA from 1 species